AACGAACGCUGGCGGCAGGCCUAACACAUGCAAGUCGAGCGCCCUUUCGGGGGAGCGGCGGACGGGUGAGUAACGCGUGGGAAUAUGCCCUUCUCUACGGAAUAGCCUCGGGAAACUGAGAGUAAUACCGUAUACGCCCUGUGGGGGAAAGAUUUAUCGGGGAAGGAUUAGCCCGCGUUGGAUUAGGUAGUUGGUGGGGUAAUGGCCUACCAAGCCGACGAUCCAUAGCUGGUUUGAGAGGAUGAUCAGCCACACUGGGACUGAGACACGGCCUAGACUCCUACGGGAGGCAGCAGUGGGGAAUCUUAGACAAUGGGGGCAACCCUGAUCUAGCCAUGCCGCGUGAGUGAUGAAGGCCUUAGGGUUGUAAAGCUCUUUCAGCUGGGAAGAUAAUGACGGUACCAGCAGAAGAAGCCCCGGCUAACUCCGUG
rnacentral:rRNA from 1 species